GAUGAAGAACGUAGCGAAAUGCGAUAAGUAAUGUGAAUUGCAGAAUUCAGUGAAUCAUCGAAUCUUUGAACGCACAUUGCGCCCGCCAGUAUUCUGGCGGGCAUGCCUGUUCGAGCGUCAUUUCAACCAUCAAGCCCCAGGCUUGUGUUGGGGACCUGCGGCUGCCGCAGGCCCUGAAAACCAGUGGCGGGCUCGCUGUCACACCGGGCGUAGUAGAUUUUAUCUCGCUCAGGGCGUGCUGCGGGUUCCGGCCGUUAAAAAGCCUUUUUUACCCAAGGUUGACCUCGGAUCAGGUAGGAAGACCCGCUGAACUUAAGCAUAGCAAUAAGCGGAGGA
rnacentral:misc_RNA from 1 species